rnacentral:lncRNA from 1 species
AUGGGCAAAGAGAAUUUGAAUUCCUAAAUAAAUUGGGAAACAUUAUUGGCUAGUGGAGUGCCAAUCAGCUUUGACUUCAACGUUAUGGAUCAUGUACCUGAUGGUAAUUACACCUAUGUUCUUGUGGAUACUGUUGGGUUGUGGGACAGAUGACAAGAAAAACGAGACCAAAUCAAGUUGACGCCAUGACAGAAAUCUAUUGGAACAUUCUCGAGAGCCAACCCCUCUCGCCAAGAAAAAUCCUGUUUGACGGGAGGCACAGGUUCGAUGAUAGAUACUUGAAGUGAACACCAGUGCUAUAGCUGCUCUCCGCUCAAUUGAAGAAUAUGUUGUAAGUAGCCGAAUUCAUUUAUGUGACAAUAGGGAGUAUGUUUUUCAAUUCAACAACUUUGAGUUCCAAAUACAGGACCUACAAUUUAUCACAAGACAUUCGCCCGCAAAUUUAUGUUCUUUUAGCUGCAAACUUCAUACUGGGAUCAAUCCGGUGCAAUUCAUGUGGGAUAAUGUUUGCAGACUACCCCUCAUACCAAUAUGCUGAUCACUCAAUUCUGAGUUUUUUUGGAAUCAUAGGCUCUUUCUCCAUGGAUGCCGCUACUACUCAUUAAGUCACACACUGUAAUGAUGGUCUUUUUAAAUUUCUCUUCCAUGAAGAAAACCCUGUAACUCUACAUAUAUUGUGGCAACUUAGAAUGCCCUACUUCUAUUGUGACCCUUUCAGGUCAUGAUAUUGAAGAGAUCAGAGUUGGGGCACUGAACAACAUUCUCAUGAAAUUAAACUGCCAUGUCCUGACAGUUGAGGAUUUGACCGAAAAUCAUGAAUUGUUCAUAAAACUCAUCAAUUGGUUCAAGUUUCCGGUAUGUACCGAAAAGGAAAAAGUAUUGGAAUUGAUAUUAACUCUAGCCAAGACAGAAACAGGCAGAUUGAAAUUUUUAGAAAUUGAUCCAAGAUUGAAGUUUCUUCGAGACUUUGACAUCACAGCCAGUAAAAGAAAACUCUCAACUCUUAUAUCAAGCAUCAUCUUUGCGUUGGA